AAAAAUAGUAAAGAAAAUAUUGAUAGUGUUUGUUUAUUUAUUUAUUCUAUUUGCAAUAAAUCAGAGAUUCUACUCCGCUGAAUCAGCCACCUACACAUGUACCAUAAAUAAAUAAAUAAGUGUCGUGGUCUGGUUUAUGAGUACACACAAAAUUGAAAACCAAACAUGCCUGGCGUAAACUGGCGAGGUUUUUUGAGGAAGUUCUCUUUGGAAAAAGUCGUAAAUAAAAAAAAUAAUGAGUGAACUUUGGAAUAGACGAGCAUUUGCAUUUUAAAUUUCAAUAAAUGUCUUCGAUCUUUGUUUCUUUCAUGUUUUGCACCUGCAC